AUUGAACGCUGGCGGCAUGCCUUACACAUGCAAGUCGAACGGCAGCACGGGUGCUUGCACCUGGUGGCGAGUGGCGAACGGGUGAGUAAUACAUCGGAACGUACCUUAUCGUGGGGGAUAACGCAGCGAAAGCUGUGCUAAUACCGCAUACGCCCUGAGGGGGAAAGCGGGGGAUCGAAAGACCUCGCGCGAUUAGAGCGGCCGAUGCCUGAUUAGCUUGUUGGUGGGGUAAAAGCCCACCAAGGCGACGAUCAGUAGCUGGUCUGAGAGGACGAUCAGCAACACUGGGACUGAGACACGGCCCAGACUCCUACGGGGGGCGGCAGUGGGGAAUUUUGGACAAUGGGGGCAACCCUGAUCCAGCAAUGCCGCGUGAGUGAAGAAGGCCAUCGGGUUGUAAAGCUCUUUUGUCAGGGAAGAAACACCGGCUCUAACACAGUCCGGGAAUGACGGUACCUGAAGAAUAAGCACCGGCUAACUACGUGCCAGCCGCCGCCGUAA
rnacentral:rRNA from 1 species